rnacentral:sRNA from 1 species
CCUCUUCGAUCUGUUGCGGCGCGAUGAAAUGGAUAUGGGUAUCGAUGCCGCCGGCCGUCAGGAUCAGGCCUUCGCCGGCAAUGAUUUCGGUACCCGGGCCGAUCACGAUGCUGACGCCGGGCUGGAUGUCCGGAUUUCCGGCCUUGCCGAUGCCGCUGAUGCGGCCAUGUUUGAGGCCGACAUCGGCUUUGACGAUGCCCCAGUGGUCGAUGAUCAAGGCAUUGGUGAUCACCGUGUCGGCGCAGUCGGCACUGUGCCGCUGACUCUGCCCCAUACCGUCGCGG